UACGGGGGGAGCAAGCGUUGUUCGGAUUUACUGGGCGUAAAGGGCGCGUAGGCGGCUUGCCAAGUCAGGGGUGAAAUCCUGCAGCUUAACUGUAGAAGGGCCUUUGAUACUGGCGAGCUCGAGGGAGGUAGGGGUAUGUGGAACUUCCGGUGGAGCGGUGAAAUGCGUUGAUAUCGGAAGGAACGCCGGUGGCGAAAGCGACGUACUGGACCUCUUCUGACGCUGAGGCGCGAAAGCUAGGGGAGCAAACGGG
rnacentral:rRNA from 1 species